GGCCAUUUCCCCUCCACUCGGUGCCGUAAGGACGUCCGCCCAUCACCAGCUUCGAGGAAUCUCCUCAGCCCUCUGCAGCUUCUGGAGAACAAGACAGCGCCUGAGGGUCGUCAGGGGCCAAGGCACUCACAAGGGGAAGGAGGAAAGGAGGAAGGAAAGAAGCAAGGGAAAGACGUGCCUGAACUGAGCUGGCGCAGAAAGAGCUGCAGAUGACGCCUCAGGGAGUUUCCGGGGACCAUGCGUAGACCCAAGCUUGCUUGUCUUCUUCGGGCUGCCAUGAAGGUCACGUAGCAGUCUGUCUGCGCAGCAUGAUGGGGUCAACAUCCAAACUCUAGUUCUCAUCUCUCAUUUCCUGAAGACCAGCCAGCAUCCUACUUGCACUGAGGACUUCUGUUGGUACUAAUUGGCUAGAGGGAGAUUCCCGGAUUGAUCCAGAACAUCCUUUCCAUGCUAAGGCAGGACUUGGAGUAAGAAGCUGCAUUGAGGCAUGGACGAGUAGAAGAUAGGAAUGAACGAUGAAGAUCAGCCACUGGGACUGACUCGGUUGCAAAGGAUUGCAGGCUCCAUGCCAGCAUCUCCACCACAGCACCGCCACUGAAUGCUCCAUCCUGCCAGGCCACUGCUCCAGGGCCACCGCACCACAGUGCAGUCCUAUCCAUAUCCACUGCCUUUGAGGUCUGAGUGGACACAGCUGGAAACGUCCAAGCAGUGCCACAGAAGAUUGCAACCAUUUAAAG
ensembl:lncRNA